rnacentral:rRNA from 1 species
GAUGAACGCUGGCGGCGUGCCUAAUACAUGCAGGUCGAGCGAACAGACGAGGAGCUUGCUCCUCUGACGUUAGCGGCGGACGGGUGAGUAACACGUGGAUAACCUACCUAUAAGACUGGGAUAACUUCGGGAAACCGGAGCUAAUACCGGAUAAUAUAUUGAACCGCAUGGUUCAAUAGUGAAAGACGGUUUUGCUGUCACUUAUAGAUGGAUCCGCGCCGCAUUAGCUAGUUGGUAAGGUAACGGCUUACCAAGGCAAUGAUGCGUAGCCGACCUGAGAGGGUGAUCGGCCACACUGGAACUGAGACACGGUCCAGACUCCUACGGGAGGCAGCAGUAGGGAAUCUUCCGCAAUGGGCGAAAGCCUGACGGAGCAACGCCGCGUGAGUGAUGAAGGUCUUCGGAUCGUAAAACUCUGUUAUUAGGGAAGAACAAAUGUGUAAGUAACUAUGCACGUCUUGACGGUACCUAAUCAGAAAGCCACGGCUAACUACGUG